GUGCACCCACAACAACUACUGAAGCUGCUACAACAAGCACUACUACUCAAACAACUACCACUACCGCUUCCACAACAACCACGGCUUUACCCACAACAACAACAGGUGCUCCCACUACAACUACGGCAGAAGCUACAACAACCACAGGAGCAGCCACAACAUCCACGGCAGAAACCACAACUAACACAGCUGCUCCAACAACAUCCACAGGUGCACCCACGAUAACUCUUGAAGCUGCUACAACAAGCACUACUAUGCAAACAAGAACCACGGCAGAAUCCUCAACAACCACAGCAUUACCCACAACAUCAACAGGUGCUCCCACUACAACUACGGCAGAAGCAACAACAACCACAGGAGCAGCCACAACAACCACGGCAGAAACCACAUCUACAACACCUGCUCCCACGACAACACCAACCCCCUCAACAACCACGACAGCAAGCACAACAACCAUGGCAGCAGCCACAACAACCACGGCAGAAACCACAACUAACACAGCUGCUCCAACAACAUCCACAGCAUUACCCACAACAACAACAGGUGCUCCCACUACAACAACAGGUGCUCCCACUACAUCUACGGCAGCAGCAACAACAACCACCGGAGCAGCCACAACAACCACUUCAGAAUCCACAACUACCACGGCCGCACCCACAACAACCACGGCAGUACCCACAACAACCACGGCAGCAGCCACAACAUCCACGGCAGAAACUACAACGGCCGCUCCCACAACAACCACGGCAGUACCCACAACUACAACGGCUGCUCCCACAACGACCACGGCAGCAGCCACAACAACCACGGCAGAAACCACAACUGACACAGCUGCUCCAACAUCAUCCACAGGUGCACCCACGACAACUACUGAAGCUGCUACCACAAGCACUACUAUUCAAACAACAACCACAGCUGCACCCACAACAACCACGGCUUUACCCACAUCAACAACAGGUGCUCCCACUACCACUACGGCAGCAGCAAAAACAACCACCGGAGCAGCCACAACAACCACAGCAGAAUCCAUAACUACAACGGCUGCUCUCACGACAACAGUUGCAGCUCCAUCCACAACCACGACAACAAGCACAACAUCCACAGGUGCACCCACAACCACUACUGAAGCUGCUACAGCAAGCACUACUACUCAAACAACAACCACGGCCGCACCCACAACAAUCACAGCAUUACCUACAACAACAACAGGUGCUCCCACUACAACUACGGCAGCAGCAACAACAACCACGGCAGCAGCCACAACAACCACGGCAGCAGCCACAGCAUCCUCGGCAGAAACCACAACUAACACAGCUGCUCUAACAACAUCCACACGUGCACCCACGACAACUCUUGAAGCUGCUACAACAAGCCAUACUACGCAAACAACAACCACGGCCGCACCCACAACAACCACAGCAUUACCCACAACAACAACAGGUGCUCCCACUACAACAACAGGUGCUCCCACUACAUCUACGGCAGCAGCAACAACAACCACCGGAGCAGCCACAACUACCACGGCCGCACCCACAACAACCACGGCAGUACCCACAACAACCACAGCAGCAGCCACAACACCCACGGCAGAAACUACAAUGGACAUAUCCACAACAACCACGGCAGUACCCACAACUACAACAGCUGCUCCCACAACAAUCACGGCAGCAGCCACAACAACUACGGCAGAAACCACAACUGACACAGCUGCUCCAACAUCAUCCACAGUGGCACCCACGACAACUCCUGAAGCUGCUACCACAAGCACUACUAUUCAAACAACAACCACGGCUGCACCCACAACAACCACGGCUUUACCCACAACAACAGGUUCUCCAACUACCACUACGGCAGCAGCAAAAACAACCACCAGAGCAGCCACAACAACCACAGCAGAAACCAUAACUACAACACCUGCUCCCACGACAACACCAAUCCCCACAACAACCACGACAGCAAGCACAACAACCACCGGAGCAGCCACAACAACCACGGCAGACACAACAACUACAAUGGCUGCUCCCACGACAACAGUUGCAGCUCCCACGACAACCACGACAGCAAGCACAACAACCACGGCAGCAGCCACAACAACCACGGCAGAAACCACAACUACAACACCUGCUCCCACGACAACACCAAUCCCCACAACAACCACGACAGCAAGCACAACAACCACGACAGCAGCCACAACAACCACGGCAGAAACCACAACUACCACAGCUGCUCAUACAACAUCCACAGCUGCACCCACAACAACUACUGAAGCUGCUACAACAAGCACUAGUACUCAAACAACAACCACGGCCGCAGCCACAACAACCACUAUAAAAACAACAACAGCAUCAUUAGCAACUAUAUACUCAGCUGCAUCACCAAUUGGAAAUGAAGGUUCACUUGGAUUAGGAUUCAAAAUGAACCGUACAUUCCUAGAAGCGUAUUCAGACCCUAACUCAAACGAUUAUCAGGAACUGGCAUUAAAUGUUACUACAGAGGUGAAUCAUGGAUACAAAAUAAUUUACCCUCUCACGUACAGAGGAUGUAGGAUCAAUCAUUUCAGGAGUGGAUCAAUUAUUGUCAACAUGACCCUCAUUUUUAUAAACCAGACAGUGGUUCCCACUCCAAUGAAUGCAAUCCAGGCAUUGAUUCAGUCUCUGAAGAGUGAACAUACCUUCCUAGAUAUUAGUGAUACAAGCUCCAUUAGUGCAAUCAUUACAGCUGCUCCCACAUCCACGACAACAGCACAAACCACCACUACUACAGCAGCAACCACAGUUUCAGGAGCCAACAUUUUGACCAACACAUUUGGGAUGUGUAUAUUCUUUACCAUGCUAACAGGACUAUUCCUUAUGAUUUAAAGGACAUUAACCAAGAAACAAAUCGGUCGAUUUGAAAUUGAGGAUUGGAAAUGGAGAGGGAUUCUUGGUCUGCCUUGUUUAUUUUCUCCCAAACCUGAGCUAAUAAUGGAUAUGCUAUUGCAGGAAUAACUGAGUGAACUCAAAUGUCUCUUUUCUUACAUGCUAUGCUAAUGCAAUUAAUAUGGUACAGAUUGCAUUAUGCUCUAAAAGAAAAUGCAUUGUAUAAACC
ensembl:lncRNA